CGGUGGAGCAUGUGGUUUAAUUCGAAGCAACGCGAAGAACCUACCUAGGCCUUGACAUGCAGAGAACUUUCCAGAGAUGGAUUGGUGCCUUCGGGAACUCUGACACAGGUGCUGCAUGGCUGUCGUCAGCUCGUGUCGUGAGAUGUUGGGUUAAGUCCCGUAACGAGCGCAACCCUUGUCCUUAGUUACCAGCACGUUAUGGUGGGCACUCUAAGGAGACUGCCGGUGACAAACCGGAGGAAGGUGGGGAUGACGUCAAGUCAUUAUGGCCCUUACGGCCUGGGCUACACACGUGCUACAAUGGUCGGUACAAAGGGUUGCCAAGCCGCGAGGUGGAGCUAAUCCCAUAAAACCGAUCGUAGUCCGGAUCGCAGUCUGCAACUCGACUGCGUGAAGUCGGAAUCGCUAGUAAUCGUGAAUCAGAAUGUCACGGUGAAUACGUUCCCGGGCCUU
rnacentral:rRNA from 1 species